AUCCACUUGACGAGUCGUAAAUGGGACGAAACUCUCGUCCUGGAU
rnacentral:hammerhead_ribozyme from 1 species